rnacentral:misc_RNA from 1 species
GAUCACCUCACCAGGUAUAGGGAAAAAGGACAUCAUAUAAGUUGAUAAGGAAUCUAGCACUUUAUUAAAGUGACUACCUCCCAAUGAAAGGUAUUGAGACUUCCAAAGUGCCAACUUCCUCUUUGUCUUCUCAAUAAAUUCUAUCCCAAAUAGUAAUGGCUUUAUGGUUUGCCCCCAAUGGCAUGCCUAGAUAAAGUGUUCGUAGCUUCUGUACCUUGAACCUCAAGAUGUUUGUUAGUGUUUGU